rnacentral:ncRNA from 1 species
UCGAGCCGUGUGCAGUGAAAGUUGCACGCACGGUUCGGAAGGGGGGGAUUGGAAAAGCAGUNCGGCUGCUCGCUGGUCUCCUACCUUAC